AGAGUUUGAUCAUGGCUCAGGAUGAACGCUAGCUACAGGCUUAACACAUGCAAGUCGAGGGGCAGCAUUGAGAUAGCUUGCUAUUUCAGAUGGCGACCGGCGCACGGGUGAGUAACGCGUAUCCAACCUGGCCCGUAGUAGGGAACAGCCCGGCGAAAGUCGGAUUAAUGCCCUAUGUUCUCCGAUGAAGACAUCUGAGUUGGAGCAAAGAUUCAUCGCUACGGGAUGGGGAUGCGUCUGAUUAGGUAGUAGGCGGGGUAACGGCCCACCUAGCCAACGAUCAGUAGGGGUUCUGAGAGGAAGGUCCCCCACAUUGGUACUGAGCCAGGAUCAAACUC
rnacentral:rRNA from 1 species